rnacentral:rRNA from 1 species
GUGGGGAAUAUUGGACAAUGGGCGAGAGCCUGAACCAGCCAAGUCGCGUGAAGGAAGAAGGAUCUAUGGUUCGUAAACUUCUUUUGCAGGGGAAUAAAGUGCAGGACGUGUCCUGUUUUGUAUGUACCCUGAGAAUAAGGAUCGGCUAACUCAGUGGCAGCAGCCGCGGUAAUACGGAGGAUCGGAGCGUUAUCCGGAUUUAUUGGGUUUAAAGGUAGCGUAGGUGGUUUGAUAAGUCAGCGGUGAAAGUUUGCAGCUUAACUGUAAAAAUGCCGUUGAAACUGUCGGACUUGAGUGUAAAUGAGGGAGGCGCAAUGCGUGGUGUAGCGGUGAAAUUCAUAGAUAUCGCGCAGAACUCCGAUUGCGAAGGCAGCUUACUAAGCUACAACUGACACUGAAGCACGAAAGCGUGGGGAUCAAACAGGAUUAGAAACCCCAGUAGUCC